UACGUAGGGGGCAAGCGUUGUCCGGAAUCAUUGGGCGUAAAGCGCGUGUAGGCGGCCAGGUAAGUCCGUUCUGAAAGCCCGGGGCUCAACCCCGGGAGGCGGAUGGAUACUGCUUGGCUCGAGUCCGGAAGAGGCGAGUGGAAUUCCCGGUGUAGCGGUGAAAUGCGUAGAUAUCGGGAGGAACAUCUGUGGCGAAGGCGACACCCUGGACCAGCACUGACACUGAGGCACGAAAGCGUGGGGAGCAAACAGG
rnacentral:rRNA from 1 species